rnacentral:lncRNA from 1 species
GAGACUCUUCUUAUGGAAGCAGCAGAAAUCACUCGCAACCUAGAUUGUAAAGGAGGUGUAAAAGAAGCAUUCGUAAAGGUGACAGAGCAACAAAUUGCAGACUACAGCAAAGAGACAGAAGAUUUUUUCCAGAAACUCUUGGCUGAGGGGCCUGGUGUUGUUGGAGAUGAUCUUGAUAAAGGACUAGAACUCAUGGCUCUGUUUGAAAAAGAAUUAGCGAGAUUGGAACAAAGGCAGCGAGAAC